AGAGGCUGUGGCUCAGUGGAAGAGCUUCUGCCUCGUGUGCAGAAGGUCCCAGGUUCAAUCCCUGACAUCUCUA